CGGAAUGAAAGAUGUACAAGCAUGCACAUCAGCUUUUUCAGCUUUGGAUUUUAAUAGUUUGACCUUCAGUAAUGAGCUUCAUGAAAGAUCUGAGAAUUUGAAAGUUGGUGAUCUAUGUCCAUUUGUGUCUCCACCAAUGACCAACACUGUGUUGGGAUCCACAGACUUGGGGAAGAUGAACUUAAUAGAUCAAGAAAAGAUGACCACUGCAGCUGCAUUUCUAUUUUGGAAUCACACUCUCCGUGACCUGUGUGAGUCACAGCUACCAGAAAACAAAGACAGCAAAAAAGAGAGAACAGGAAAUGAGAAUGGGUGAUAUGGGUCCCCAUGAAGCAAUAAACAUAGGAGGACCUCACUCUGUUGUGCAUGCUGGAGUACAGUGGUGCAAUCUCUGCUCCCUGAAACCUCGACUUCCAGGGCUCAAGAGAUCCUUCCAUCUUACCAAGUAGCUGGGAAUACAGAUGUAUAGUUAUUUUCCAAACCCACCAUUGUAAAAUUACAUUCUAUUAAAGAGAAAGAGAAGAAAAAGAAACUUAAUUUGUUUUUUGGGGGAUAGUUGAGAUGUGUUUAACCCAGCACCUGCUGGUAACCAAGGUCCUCCUCCAAUGAUGGGUAUGAAUAUGAACAACAGAGCAAUUAUACCUGGCCCACCAAUGGGUCCUGGUCCUGCCAUGGGACCAGAAGGAGCCGCAAAUAUGGGAACUCCCAUGAUGCCAGAUAAU
rnacentral:lncRNA from 1 species